rnacentral:lncRNA from 10 species
UUUUCAAGGCGGGCUGUAACUGGUGGCAUUUGUCCCGGGACCAGGCUGGAGUGCAACGGUGCGAUCUCGGCUCAUCACAACCUCCACCUCUCGGGUUCAAACGAUUCUCCUGCCUUAGCCUCCCAAGUAGCUGGGAUUACAGGUCCACAGUUUUAUGUGUGAGCAAGAUGGAGGCUGACCUGUCUGGCUUUAACAUCGAUGCCCCCCGUUGGGACCAGCGCACCUUCCUGGGGAGAGUGAAGCACUUCCUAAACAUCACGGACCCCCGCACUGUCUUUGUAUCUGAGCGGGAGCUGGACUGGGCCAAGGAUGGGGGUUGUGCCCCCAGGCACCCAAGUGGAGCAGCUGCUGUAUGCCAAGAAGCUGUAUGACUCGGCCUUCCACCCCGACACUGGGGAGAAGAUGAAUGUCAUCGGGCGCAUGUCUUUCCAGCUUCCUGGCGGCAUGAUCAUCACGGGCUUCAUGCUCCAGUUCUACAGCUAUUGAGCUGGGCUUUGGGCCGGGUGUUGGGAAUGUGAAGGCUUCAGUAACCUCCCGUCAAGGAGCUCCCAGUUUUGUUGAGGAGACCAAGAAG